UCAUUAUCAAAAGUCAAGUCGGGGGCUGUAAAGCUCUCGUCUACACCCAUGUCUUUUGCGUACUCUUGUUUCCUCGGUGGCGCAAGCUGCCGAUUGGACAAACCAAAACCUUUUUUGUAAUUGCAAUCAGCGUCUGAAAAUAAUCUAAUUAUUUACAACUUUCAACAACGGAUCUCUUGGUUCUGGCAUCGAUGAAGAACGCAGCGAAAUGCGAUAAGUAGUGUGAAUUGCAGAAUUCAGUGAAUCAUCGAAUCUUUGAACGCACAUUGCGCCCCUUGGUAUUCCAUGGGGCAUGCCUGUUCGAGCGUCAUUUGUACCCUCAAGCUUUGCUUGGUGUUGGGCGUCUUGUCGUAUUACGACUCGCCUUAAAUCUAUUGGCAGCCGGCACUUUGGCCUAGGAGCGCAGCACAUUUUGCGAUCGUAGCCCGUUGUACUGGCGUCCAUCAAGAACAUUUACCACGUUUGACCUCGGAUCAGGUAGGGAUACCCGCUG
rnacentral:rRNA from 1 species